UAAAGGCUGAGUUGAGUUGAGUUGGAGUGUUCUAGCAAAUUACUUUCUUUUUUUGGAGCCUUUUUUUUUCCCCAGUGUAUGGAUACAUAUGUAGAGCAUGAUUACAUCAGUAGGCAGCAAUGAUGAAUCUGUCACCUAGAAAAACUAAUCAGCAAAAAAAUUGUAUAUAUAUCAAGUGUUUCCACUAGAAUUUUAGAGGAAUUUAAGCUAGAUUAAAGCUGAGGCAGGUUCAACCAUGGGCUUGAGAUUGGUUUUCUCAAGGAGCUCAAAUCUAGUUCAGCUUCUCAUUAUUAAUGUAGUUUUUUAAGUUCUUCUUUGAAAUUUAAAGAAAUUUCUAAUUUCUCUUGUUAAUUGUGAUGCUGUUACUGUAGCUUUUCACUGCAUUCUGGAAUUUUCCCUUGGUCCAGGUGAACUAAAGACUACUUUGAG
rnacentral:misc_RNA from 1 species